rnacentral:lncRNA from 1 species
GGCGGACGCGCUCCGUCCCACCCCACCCAGACCCCUGUGGCAUGUAGCUCUCCGUCUAUUAAACUUACAGAGGUUAGUAGCGUGAGACGCCAAAGCCCCACCCUUUUACAGAGUCUUCAAACUGCUUUGAGAAAAGCCAGACAGAUCGCAUGUUACCUUCACGGUUGCCCUGCUGUUGAGAACUCUUUCUACAUGCCCAGCGCUGUGCUAACCGUGUAUGUUAUCUCUUAGAAUUCCUAUAAAACAAGAAUAUAUACUUUCUGCCCAGUUUUAAUAAGGAGCAACUGAACAAUUAAGUAAUCUGUCUGAAGUAACAGAAUAAAUGGUAGAAUGUGGAUUUGUCUCAAGCUUCGUGCACCAAGAAAUUCUCCUAGGGAAUUUGGCAAAACCUAUCUGAUCUAUAAUUGGGGGGGGGAAAAAAGGAAGAAAAUGUCUAUAAGGUGGCGUGUUUGAUGAAAGGGAUGAGGUCUUGAAGAUGGCACAAUUCAAAACUCACAUAUUUGAGAUAAAUCCUGACAAGUCUCUCUUCCCAAGCUAAAUUCAAGUUGCCUUGUAGAAUACCCAACACACUUUAUAAAUCAGUAGCUCUGCUGGCUUUGGAUUUAUAUAAUUCCUGAUGAAUUUUUAAUUCGUGCUUUUCAAGUUGCGAUGGCAUUUUAAUUGUUAUACCACAGUAUUUCAAAUUGGCAUUAUUAAAAUUUAUUUUGUGACAAAGCUAUAUAUACGUGUGUGUGUGUGUGCGCGCGUGCGUGCGCGCGCGCGCGCGCACACACACACACACACACACACACACACACUUUGGAAGCUUGGACCUAUAAUGGAUGAGUGAAGCGCAUUAUUUCAUUUAAGCUUUUCUAGUUGCAUAUCCAGUUUGGGUUUUCCAAAAUGCAAAUGUAACAGUUUGUUCAGUUCAGGCUAUUCUUUCUCUCAACUGAUGUUAAAAUAGUUUAGCUCAUAGAUCCGCGGAUGCUGUUCAGUCGAUUGUGAGGUGUUGUAGAAACUAUCGUAAGCGAAAAGAGCUUCUGUUUGGAUGCUUUAACUGCGUCACCUUUGUAACCUCUAAGAUCAAAAGUGCUUCUCACCACCCCCGGCUCAGGCAUUUAGAAAACCAGGAAUCUGGUAGGCUAGGUGCUCCGUUGUUUGGAAAAUUCAAUAAAGGACAGAAUAAGUUCGGUUUGUAAAGUGGAAGUUGUUACUCUCAACAGUUCGGACUUUAUAGGCUAGAGUUGGGAGCUGGUGUUAGUGUUUGAGUAGGAGGGUUUCAUGAUAAAAGCCGUGUUUUAGGCAGAUAAACUUGGCCAGGGUGUGCAGAACAGAUUAGAAGGGGAAAAAGCCUCGGCCGAUGUGAAAUUCUAGGAGUAAAGGGAUAUGAGAUGCGAACUAUUGCAUGGCAGCAAGGCUAGAAAGUUGAAGACAAACCCAAGCGAAAUUUUUUUUUCUGUUGAAAUAUAUUUGACAUAUAACAUUGUGUAAACUGAAGGUGUAUAGCAUGUUGAUUUGACAUUCAUGUAUUGUAAUAUGAUUGCCAUUGUGGCUAUAAUUAGCACCACUAACAUGUCACAUGAAGAGCUAUUUUGAGGCAAUGCUGUCCCAUAGAAAGGUAACAAACCAAAGAAAGAAAGAAAGAAAGAAAGAAAGAGAGGUAAUGUCAGCCACAGAUGUGAACCCCAUAUGUAAUUUAACAUUUUCUAGAAGCCACAUUUGAAAAGAUAAAAAGAGAUAAGUAAAUUAAUUUUAAUAAUAUCUUUAACACAAUAUGUCAAAAAUCUCAUUUUAAUGGGUCGCCCAUGCGAAACUAUUAACCAGCUAGUUUAUUUAUUGUUUUAAUUAAUUAAUUUUAAUCAGCUAGUUUAAAGUACUAUUUUUUUAGUGUAUUUAAAAUCCAAUGUAUCUUUUUCUCUUAGAGCAUAUCUCCAUUUAACCAAGCCACCUUUUAAGCGCUCAUGCGGCUGGUAGCUAUCUUAUUGCCCAGUAAAGUUUGGGGAGAAUAAACCACAGAUAGUAGCUGAUGGGGGAGGGGUGGUAUAGCAGAGAAGAAGAGGGAAACGUCCACGCUGAUUCCGUAGUUAGGAUCGCCGUUGGGAAAGUGGAAGCUCGUGGUGCUGCUUUCAGAAACCAGAUAUUUGGGCGGGUAUUUAGGGAGUGAGGUGAACUGAAUGCUCAUUGGAAUUCCAGUUCAAGCCUAGAGAUGUACGUCCGGGAGAAAACUGAUCAUCUUUCCAGCCCCACCCUACGUGAAUGAUCCCCCUUGUAUGUUUCCCACUGAGUUAAUGGUCCACCAUGCACCACUACCCAUGUGGAAAUAACAUUCCAGGGCUGCCUCAUCCGGUUUUAUUUUUUCCCAAGACGAUACAGAAAUCUGUAUUUUUAUAUAAAUAAAUUUAACAUAACUAUUUAUUUUAUAUAAACCUAUAUUUUAUGUAAAAAUUUAAAAGGUUGAUGACCAAUUCUUAUUUUUAAAAAACACUGUGAAGGCCAAAUUAAAUAUACGAGCUGGCUGGAUGUGGUUUGUGGAGGUCCAGUGUGUGACCUCUGUGUGAGGCAUAAUUCCCGGAAAUUUACUAGCAUAAACAUCUAAAGAAAAGGCUGCAAAUAGAUUUGAAGGUGUUGGAUUCCUUUAAUAUCAGGCUGAUUUUUCUUUUUCUGAGUCCUAGUUCUAGGUUCCGUGGGAGAGGAAACUCCUGAUUUAUUUAUUUUUUUUAAGUUUAUUUAUUUUGUGGGGGAGAGAGAGCGUGCACGUGCGCACGUGAGCCGGAGAGGGGCAGAGAGAGAGGCGGGGACAGAGAGAGAGGGAGAGAGAAUCCUAAGCAGGCUGGGCACACUGUCGGCACAGAGCUGGGCUCGGGGCUCGAUCUCACAAACCGUGAGAUCAUGACCAGAGCAGAAAAAGAGUCGGACGCUUAACCGACUGAGCCACCCCGGCGCCCUGAGGACACUCCUGAUUUAAACCCUGGGUUUAUGGCAUCCUAAUCCUUCCACAUUCUUGGAACAGAAAUUUCAACACUACAUAACAGGAGCCGAGGCUAUCUGGAGGACGAGGGGAAUAUGACACUUUACCGCAAGAAAAACAAGAUUUCAGCUUUUUGCCUUUCUUCCAAUUGAAAUUUCCUAAAUGUCUAUCUUUUCUCAAACAAAAUGUCCAUUACUUCUGGGGAAACAGUAAGUCAGCAAAAUCCGGAAGAAUAAAGCUGAGCUUGGGAAUCAAGUGUUCUUGGUAAUAUACAAAAUUGCAGGCCACAAUUCAGCUAAUGGGGAGACUUCCUAUUUGUUCAGCAAUCAGGUUGUAAUUUUAAAAUGCUGAUUAGGGAAUGCAUAGGGCAUGAACAGGGGAAGUUGGAAAUGGGACAUCCUGUCUGAUGCAACCCUCAUGUCACCCAAUAUGGUUGCCCAUAACACCCAACUGGCUAUAAUUAGAGUGAGUACGAGGUGAGCAAAUACCACUCCUGUCCACUUCUUCUUUUCAUGAAAUCCAUUCUGUUUUUAUAAGAUCAAACCACAGGGAAUAGCUCCUUUUCCUUUUCUGAUGCGUCUCAGCACUCAGAACGUGAGCUGAGAAAGAGUAGAACCGGAAGAGACAAGUGUAUGGUGGAACUUUAAGAAAAGAAUAAAGGAGGGAGAUUCUGGGGACAGUGUAGAAUAGGUAGGACUUGGGGGGUAGGGAGAGGGAAGGGUGAUGUGUCGCAAGCUCAGGGAGUCAGCCCUACCGAUCUGGGGUAGAAGGUAAGGGGUUGAAAUGUAGGGUAAUCUCUGGGAAAGCAGGUGAUCCCGUCAGAUUGGCAAACAGGAAGUAUCCGGCCGGAGGUAUGGCUAAACAGCAGGCACAGUUGGGCUUUUUUGUUACUAAUCAUUGGCACAAUCUGCGUGGUAAAGCACGGCUGCCAUGAAUGAACAGUUCCCAUUAUGUGCCUUUGCUCCCCAAAUGGAACCAUUAUUUCUGGUUUUAUCAAUUAAAAAGCCAACAGCCGUUCUAAUAGUCCCUGACUUCCAUAUUUCCUCUCAAGAGCAAGAAACAAGGGUACUUCAUUAAAGAGUGAACUGCAGUGUCUUUGACUGCAUUCUCUUUCCCGGCUCUCUUAUUUCUGCUUCCAGAAUAAUCUUCUUAAAACACUGAGGCAAAAUUACAAGUUGUCCAUAAAUACUUGCUGAUCGGCUGACGUUCACGAAGACAGUAGCUUUCUGUGUGUGCAUUUGCAGACAUAACUUGAGCUAACCAUCUAUUAGUCAAGACGAUGCAGAGAGGAGGUUCAUCAUGGAGUUUUUGUUCACUGGGACAUCUUAAAUUUUUUUUUCAACGUUUUUUAUUUAUUUUUGGGACAGAGAGAGACAGAGCAUGAACGGGGGAGGGGCAGAGAGAGAGGGAGACACAGAAUCGGAAACAGGCUCCAGGCUCCGAGCCAUCAGCCCAGAGCCUGACGCGGGGCUCGAACUCACGGACCGCGAGAUCGUGACCUGGCUGAAGUCGGACGCUUAACCGACUGCGCCACCCAGGCGCCCCAAGGGACAUCUUAAGACCAGCCAGGAUUGCAGAGAAGUGUUCAUCAGGUCAACCAACUGCCCCGACUUAAGUUUUAGAGUAUAAAUAUAGGUGAUAUCUGGAAAUGGAAAGCAAAGCUUUAUAGAAAGCUUGGCUUGAAACCUCAUACCUCUUCUCACUUAAUGUCUAUUACCUGUCCUGUCCCAGAGAUUUUUAUCCCCAUGGCACAACUGCGUAAACCAAGGUUGAGAGAUGUUGGAUAAGUUGCUCAAGGUCCUAGGGCUGUUUGCGAUGGAGAUAUAGUUUGCCCUCGGUCCCUCCCACUGUAUUUCCAGGUCACCCUGUGUUCCAUGCUUCCUCUCAGACUGCUCAAAGCUGGGAACAGAACUGGCAGUAUGACCUGAACUCCAUUCUCUAAGGAGACAGAGAGGCAAGGGUGGAGGGAAAGAGACAGGCUUAUGCCAAGAGGGCCACGCGCCAAGUGUAAGAGGCAGGGCACCUUUUCAAGGGGGGCAAAGCUUUGCUUAUGCUUGCCAUGGGUACUGCUAGAAGUAUCUAAGAACCUCUUUUGCUCCGAGGUAAAGGGUUAGUUAACCUGUGCUCAUGGGCGAGGGUGGCUAGUUCGUAAGUGGUGCCGUGGGACUCUGGGUUUCCUCCUGGCUAAAGAGAGAGUGUAAAGAAUGGUAACCAUUCCUUGGACUUCUUCACUUCUAGGGAAAAGGUGAUUUCAAAGGCCAUCGGCUAAGAAUCCCACGAUUCUUGGUGAACAGUGCCAUCUAGCGACCUGCUGUAUUUAGUUCCAGCCCGGUAGAGCAACCUUGUAGGAAAGACUGGCUUCAUGAGACACGGAGAGCUAAUCACAAAACCCUGGAAGAGGAGUUCCAGGCUCUCGUGUGUUCUUCCAGAACUUCUUUCCUGUCUAUACAUGGAAGAUACAGACACCUCAUUCACCACUCUCUUGCAGAAGUUUAGAAGGGGGUUGCCCAUUCAUUCAUUUGACACAUUUUUAUUCAGUGCCUGUUAUGCGCCCGCCAUGCUUGCGAGUCCUGGGGGAUGCGCUAUGGGGAAAAUUAAAUAAAAAUCCCUGCUUGUAUGGGCACAGAGACCAGAGACAAGAAGAAAACAGAAUGGAGAGUAUCUCAGAUGGCCAUGAGUGCCAAGGAGAAAAAUAAAGCCGUUGGAAGGGAUGUGGGAGGUGUUGGGGAGAGGAGGGCUUGAUAAAGAGUAGGAAGGGAAGGUGUCGCUGGAAGGUUCCAUUUGAACAAAGACCUGAAGGAGAGAAGGGAACAUGAGGGGGAAAAGCAUUCCUGGCAGGAGGAACAUGGAGGAGGCAAGGGUGGAUGGAGGAGAGAGAAGAGGGGCAGAUACAUAGGAAAAGAGGUCGGAAUGGUCAUGCUUGGGCAUGUGGGGGAGGGACGAGAAGCCACUGGAUAUUUGGACUUAUAUUUGAACAGAAUCACUCAGGCAGCUGUGCUGAAAACAAAUUAAAGGUGUCUUGGGAGGGGCGCCUGGGCGGCUCAAUCUCUUGAGCGUCCGAGUUCAGCUCAGAUCAUGAUCUCACAGUUUGUGAGUUCGAGCCCUGCGUCGGGUUCUGUGCUGACAGCGCGGAGCCCGUUUCAGAUCCUCUGUCCCCGCCCCUCUCUCUGCACCUUCCCUGUUCACUCUCUUUCUCUCAAAAAUAAACAAAACAUUAAACAAAAAGUUGCCCUGGGAGAUUCACAGUUCCCUUUAGCACAUUUAAAAACUCCACAAACCCCAGUUUAUUGUUUAUUUAACGUUGUUUAACGAGGACUUUCCAGGCUUACACAGAUCUCUUUCUUCCCGCAACACCCACUACCUUCUUGCGGGACCCGAGAAACGAAAGUCAGCGCUGAUAAGCAGACUGUGAUGUUCCCGACAGUCAUAAAUGACGCGAGCCCAAAGCCAACAGAAAGUAGUGAUUUUCCCAAGGCCACACCACAACUGCAAAGGAGCUACCGUUGAGUGACUAAUUCUUUCUUAUCAGUACCUUCCGCAGAUUCGCUCCAUUCCUCCGUUAUGAAACCACGCCACUUCACGGCCACUGGCAAUCCGGGCCCGAUUCCUGUAUCCCCUGCCCUUCCCACCUUAGAGUCACUUAGCACAAACCCAAAACCCCACAAGAAAACCCCCUUCCUACAGCCACCGUGGUUCAUUUGGUGUACGUUUUCCCUUGCUGCACCAAGUGAAGAAAAUGAACAUCGACUGGGUGAACCUGGCGGUCUUGACCUACAGCUUUAUCUAUCUGCCCCUAGGGUUUUGUAGAUCAAAGUUUAAGAAGAGCUGGACAAAAUAACGACUUCCUACCAUCAUAUUCUUUGAGUCUAAGGCAGAGAUACCGUGCCCUGCUAAAACGUCUUGCGUACCAAGUGGAACACAAUGUCUGGUCCAUGAAAGUGGUGAGAGACUAUAUUGCCAAAUAUUUUUUGAAAAUAUGCUGGAUGCUUGGUAGAAAUGAGGUUCUACGGUAUGUGACCUUUGGCAUCUGGCUUCUUUUACUUAGCAUAACGCUUCCAAGGCUCAUCCAGGGUGUAGCCUGUAUCAGUAUUUCAUUUCUUUUUACGGCUGAAUAACAUUCCGUUAUAUGUAUUACCACGACUAAUUUAUCCAUUUGUCAGCGGGUGGACAUUUGAGUUGUGUCCACCUCUUGGCUCUUGUGAACAGUGCUACUAUGAACAUGUGCGUGUGCGCGAUUAUUUGAGGACCUGUUUUCGAUCGUCUUUCCAUUGUACCUGUGUUCGGUAUAUCUUGGAAUGGAAUUCCGGAUUAUAUAUAUAUUUUUAAGUUUACUUAUUAUUGAGAGAGAGAGCACGCGCACGCAGGAGAGGGCAGAGAGAGGGGGAGAGAGAGAGAAUCCCAAGCAGGCUCUGCACCGUCAACACAGAGCCCGAUGCAGGGCUCGAACCCACGAAGCGUGAGAUCACGGCCUGAGCUGAAGUCAGACACUGAACCGACUGAGCCACCCAGGUGCCCUGUAUAUUUUUUUCUAUAUAUUUAACUUUUGAAGAACUGGCAAAACUGUUUUCCACGGAGGCUGAGCCAUCUCACAUUCCCAUAGCAAUGAACGAGGGCUCCGAUUCACCAUUUGUUACUUGCUGUUUCUAUUUUUCACGAUCACCAUAGCCAUCCCCGUGGGUGUGAAAAACACUGAGAUUUUAUGCCAUGUCUGCAAAGUUGCAAGCUCUUGGGACAUCCAAGUAGCGUUGGGUCCCCCAGUGCUCGCAAUGAACCAAGGCCGUGCUGUAUUUUCAAGGCUCCCACACCCAUUCUGGGUCACGCUCUGGCAGGUGGGCAACAAAGCUUUGUAUCGUAUGGAAACUUGUCCAGCUUCAACCCAUACAGCUGAAAUGUGAGUCCAGGGCGGGGCCAAGUCAGGGGAACAAUCUGAGGCAGACCCUGGGCUGCCCUUUCUGGCUUGUUCUUUCCAUUCUUUCUUUUUUAAAAUUUUUAAUGUUUUUAUUUAUUUUUGAGACAGAGAGAGACAGAGCGUGAGCAGGGGAGGGGCAGAGAGCAGGGGAGACACCGAAUCCGAAGCAGGCUCCAGGCUCCGAGCUGUCAGCACAGAGCCCGACACGGGGCUCGAACCCACAAACCGUGAGAUCAUGACCUGAGCCGAAGUUGGACGCUUAACCAACUGAGCCACCCAAGGCGCCCCUGUUCUUUCCAUUCUUAUCGUUUAUUCUCCUAGCUAAGACCCCUUGAUGCUGGGACAUGGUCUUCAGGUACCCCAGGACAUGAUUACACCCCAGCUUCCGUUCAGCUGGGGCAUCUCCAUUCUGCAGGUUUCUUGUUAGAGUGAGAACAGUGCUAAUCACGUAACUAAAGACGCAAAGGACAAGGUCCUUUGGGAACCGGAGCCCUUUGCUUCUUUAUUUUUUUUUUUUAAUUUUUUUUUCAACGUUUAUUUAUUUUUGGGACAGAGAGAGACAGAGCAUGAACGGGCGAGGGGCAGAGAGAGAGGGAGACACAGAAUCGGAAACAGGCUCCAGGCUCUGAGCCAUCAGCCCAGAGCCCGACGCGGGGCUCGAACUCACGGACCGCGAGAUCGUGACCUGGCUGAAGUCGGACGCUUAACCCACUGCGCCACCCAGGCACCCCACCCUUUGCUUCUUUAAACUGGGAAGAUCCUGUGUGUGUUUCAGGGGCAGUUGAUAUCUGGGCAUAGGGUACGUUAUAAGGGAGGGAUUGAGAGAGAGAGAGAGAGAGAGAGAGAGAGAGAUCCGGGAUCAUUGGUGGUGAGGUAAUAGUUGAGGCCAUGAGAGGAGGUAAGAUGUAACGAAAAAUGUGUCAGUUGGUGAAGAGCUGGACUGAAUGUCCUGGUAUUCCUUUAAUUUUAGGAACACUACCGGAAAGGAGGCUGGUGCUUGUGCUGAGCCGCCUUCAGCAGCUCCACGUCCCACAUUGCUGAUGAGUGAGAGCCUCUGUUAUAAAUGGAAACGUGAACUGGCAAGUGCUCACCGGCUAACGCUGAACCCACCAGCUUAUUUUGCUACCUAUUAUGUACGUGAUCUGCGAUUUUGCUUAUUGAUUGCAAAUAUGCACGAGGAAUAGGAAGCUGGCGUGUUUUCCCAAAACGAGACGGAGCGUUUUCGCUGCUGCGUGUCUCAACCGGGUAUGGCUUCGACUUUUCAUCAUUUUUCUGAGGUCAGAAACAGCCUUUGGUGGGGCUCUAAUUUUUUUUUUUUUUUUUUUUUUUUUUUUUUUAUAUAGAAGUUUGGCUCCCGAGACUGUUUCAGAGCCUUUAGGAAAGAUAUCAAGUGGACGAGACAUGUCUGAAAAUAUUUAAAGUGGCGAUUUCCUAGGCCCUCUUUCUCCACUUUCUCCGUAGGCAUCUGUUCCCAUAUGUGGAGGUUUAAGUCAGCCUCUAUCUACAGAUGACCCUUGUCUGACCUCACUCUCUGGAAUGCUCUGCCUGCCUCUGUCUUUCAUGCCAGAGCACAUCAACACUACCUUCUGUUGGCAUUCCUGAUAGGAUCUCUUUCUCCUGAGCUCUUGAAAGAAUCCUGCUUCAGCAACUCUAGAGAAUGGUGGGAGAGUUGGUCUUUAAAAACAGAUUUAUCCCAUACCAAGGACAAGAAUCACUUAUUUUGCACCACUGUGUGCAUUGACUCUUCUUUUCUCCCAAUCCAUGAACAUAGUAUAGAUUCUUAGGUCCCCUUGACCCAGGAAUGCAGUUUCCCAUGCCUACAUAGGCCAAGUCCUUCUGUUCUCAGAGAUUCUAAUUACAUUAGCCUGUGUAUUUCCUUUAAAACGGUUAUCACAACCUAAAAUUACCUUGUUUAUUUGCUUACAUAUUCACUGUCUAUCUCUUCUAUCUAGAAAGUAAACUCCAUGAGGGCAGGGUAUUUUUUUUUAAAGAACAGUCUUUUUUUAUUUAUUUCUUUAUUUUUAGAGAGAGAGAGAGAGAGUGCACAUGAGCAAGGGAGAGAGGGAGAAUCUAAAGCAGGCUCCACACUCAGUGUGGAGACCAACUCUCAGGUCUCCAUCCCAUGACCCCGGGAUCAUGACCUGAGCCAAAAUCAAAAGUCAGACACUCAACCGACUGAGCCACUCAGGCACCGUGAGAGCGGGGCCUUAUGUGUCUUCUCCCGGCAUCCAGAGCAAUGCUUGUCCACAUAAUAGGUGCUCAUGGAAUAUUUGCCAACUGACUGACUUACAGAAUCAGUCAUUAAAACUUCAUACGAAAAUUAGCUUUCCAUUAACUCCUUCUAAGUGUCAUUUUCUUGUCUCUCUUGAACAACGAUGUCUUCCAAAUGGAGCUAGUAUCUUGACCAAACACCAACUAACUAUGUUAGUGGCUUUUGAGAUUUGGGACCCCCUUUACACCCUUAAAAGUUGUUGAAGACCCAAAGGGCUAGUGUUCAUAUGAGUCAUAUCUGUCAUUAUUUAGUGUGAUAGAAAUGAAAACUGAGAAGAGUUCAAAAUAUUUAUUUACUAAAUCAUUAAAAAUAAUAAACCCAUUAUAUGUUAACAUUUAUCCCAUAUUUUUUUUUGUUUCUCAAAUAAAAUAACAGGGACAUGAGAGGCAUUGUUUUACUUAAGA